rnacentral:rRNA from 1 species
CCUACGGGAGGCUGCAGUAGGGAAUAUUGCUCAAUGGGGGAAACCCUGAAGCAGCAACGCCGCGUGGAGGAUGAAGGUUUUCGGAUUGUAAACUCCUUUUGUUAGAGAAGAUAAUGACGGUAUCUAACGAAUAAGCACCGGCUAACUCCGUGCCAGCAGCCGCGGUAAUACGGAGGGUGCCAGCGUUACUCGGAAUCACUUGGCGGAAAGAGCGCGUAGGCGGGAUAGCAAGUCAGAUGUGAAAUCCUAUGGCUUAACCAUAGAACUGCAUUUGAAACGGUUAUUCUAGAGUAUGGGAGAGGUAGGUGGAAUUCUUGGUGUAGGGGUAAAAUCCGUAGAGAUCAAGAGGAAUACGCAUGGCGAAGGCGACCUGCUAGAACAUAACUGACGCGGAUGCGCGAAAGCGUGGGGAGCAAACAGGAUUAGAUACCCCAGUAGUC